ACAAGCACCCUCAAUUUGCUCACUCUGCAGAUGAGGAAAUGGAAACCUGCAGAUGCCAAGUUGACCUCCAGGGUGCGCACAGCCCGUAAGGGGCAGGGGCGAGACUCGAAACCAGCCCGACCAGAGUCCAAAGCCUGUGCCAUCAGCCACUGUGCCUGCCUGCCUCUCGGUAUGCCACAUUCUGUCAGGGCACGUAUGACAUAGGUGGAUCAGAACAGAAUUUUAGAUUGGAAGACACAAGAAGGAAUGAAAACUAUUCCAAGAGCAAACAAGAAAAGAACGUAUGCUAAGAGAAGUCAGAAGACGCUCCCUGUAGCAGUCCCUGGACCUGGAGCUUCACGCGUCACUUGGAAACUUGCAAAAACUGGGAAACUCUGGGGAUGGGCCCAGCAACCGCGUUGUCACAGCCCUCCGGGGGAUUCCGACGAUGCAGGCUCCCUCUGAGACCCGCUGCUCCAGGCCUACGGAUUCUUCGCAAACGAGAUUGGAAGACUCGAGACUGUGUAAGGAUCAAAUGAGAAAAAGGACGGGAAGGCUUUGAGGCUCGGCGAGUCUGUGCACGCCCAGAGCGUGUGGCAGGGUCCCUGCUUGUCCCUCUCGCCCGGCCUUGGCCCCACCCAUUCCCGGAGCUUCCACCUCCCCGUCUCCAGGGGCGGUUCCCCAGGGCAGGCCCGGGGUCUCCUCGUCUCCUCCUCAGGGCUGCUCCGAGCUGCUCCUCCAAUUCACUGAAAGCUGAAUAAGUAAAGAAUCGACUUGCUAAGUGACUAAUGAAGAGAACACACCAAAUAUACAGAUUUGUCAACAACUUGUUUCUUUAGGCUCUCUGCAGAGGAUUUGGCAGUUCUUACAGGACGUGAUGAUUCUGUCAGCUGAGCCGUGUUUAGGGCGCGCUCCGUUUGUGCAGCUGAGGGGGUCCUGGGCUGCCAGAGCGCAGUGCUGAGGGAGGGAAAGGGCACGACAGUCCACACAGGGCCCUGCCUGGAUGCCCGGCUCAGAGAGGGACCCAGGAGUGGGGAAAUAGGGAGCCCCAGAGCCCGGACUCCUGCAGGCCUCUUAGGCCCUGCCAAUUUACUCGGUGGAAAUCGCUGGAGACUGUGCUGAGUACGUUUUUUAAAGAUCCAUUCGCUGAUCAGUGUGUGGUCCGCUGGCCUCGAGGGACUUGUUGAGACCCAGACAAACCCUUCCAAGUGGAUUUUCAGCCACUUAGGAGCACAUGUGGCUGAGCCCUCUUCUUAACUGCAAGGGGAUUAGUGUUGUCUCUGAUGGGCCCUUGGACUAGAACCAACAGCUCAGCGUAGUUACCAACAUCCCAGCAGAGGCCAUGGAAUCCCCGAUGUGGCAUUCGGUGCCACCUAGAAGAGUCAGGCCUCUGCAUGUUUUAGGUAACGUCUCUGCUUUUUCUCUGCCUGAACUUUCCCAAAGCUGCCACUUUCUCUACCUGAUUCAACAACUUUUUCCUUUGUCAGCCAUGACUGAGGCUCAGAGAACUUUCCCCAUUUGCAAACGUCCUCUGUGUCUGCUCAGCUUCCCGGCUGG